rnacentral:lncRNA from 1 species
UGCCAGAACACUACACUUAUAUCUCGCGGAGUGGGUCAGAAUACGACACUUACAUCUUAUAGCUAGGAAAGAAGAAUGCACUUAGAAUUAAUCAAAGUGUUAAUAUGUAACCCCCAAAUAAUAAGGUCCGAAACAUAGUUAGCCCAUGAACCCAAAUAUGAUACGAAUAAGAGCUCUUUACAAAAUAAUAUAUAUAUCAUAAUCCAAC